AUUCACUGCUGUUUGAUGGUUCAACCUCUUCAUGGAGGAUGGUUCAGUUAACAAACAUGAUCGUUCAGUUCCUGUAGAAAAAAUGUGGCUUUUCCUGAUUGUUUCAUGGCUCAGAAAGGAAUUUAUAUAUUAACAAACUGUGAAGCCUUUGAAGCUGAGCUUUUGCACAAAGCUACACCGAGAAUGUAGAGCCAAGUUGCCACCCCAUUGUCACCUCCCUGUCACCUAACUCACAUGGCAGUAAGUAGC
rnacentral:lncRNA from 1 species